rnacentral:tmRNA from 1 species
GGGGGCGUACUGGUUUCGACUGAAGGUCUGAUAACCGGAUCGCAUGCCGAGGAGGACUCGUUGGCCUCGUUAAAAAUCGAGUCAAAAAAUCAACUGCCAACCAAGAAUUGGCUCUCGCGGCUUAAUUGACCGUGACGUUCCCGGCCGGACGCCUGCUAAGGCCGGGAGCGACGACAGCAGGCUGGUCCAAAGGCGGGGCGACCGCGCCGGAGGACGAGAAAAAUUUCGUGGCCGCAAAGGUGAACCGUAUGCGCCGAUCCAUCUGGUCCACCUUAUAACGAUCGGCUAAGCAUGUAGACAUUCGGCUUGAUGGUCUUUAGGACAGGGGUUCGACUCCCCUCGCCUCCAA